rnacentral:rRNA from 1 species
ACGAACGCUGGCGGCGUGCUUAACCCAUGCCAGUCGAACGGAAAGGCCCUGCUUUUGUGGGGUGCUCGAGUGGCGAACGGGUGAGUAACACGUGAGUAACCUGCCCUUGACUUUGGGAUAACUUCAGGAAACUGGGGCUAAUACCGGAUAGGAGCUCCUGCUGCAUGGUGGGGGUUGGAAAGUUUCGGCGGUUGGGGAUGGACUCGCGGCUUAUCAGCUUGUUGGUGGGGUAGUGGCUUACCAAGGCUUUGACGGGUAGCCGACCUGAGAGGGUGACCGGCCACAUUGGGACUGAGAUACGGCCCAGACUCCUACGGGAGGCAGCAGUGGGGAAUAUUGCACAAUGGGCGGAAGCCUGAUGCAGCAACGCCGCGUGCGGGAUGACGGCCUUCGGGUUGUAAACCGCCUUCGCCUGUGACGAAGCGUGAGUGACGGUAAUGGGUAAAGAAGCACCGGCUAACUACGUG